AUAUUAAAACUCAUCUCCUGUUCAAAAACUUCCACGAUUUGAAAACUUCUCCCUCAAUCACGUUUGCAUCUCCUCUCUUCAACAAAUGGCCGAUUUUCUUUUUUCCAUGUUUUCCACGUUAUGCAUAAUUCGUGAUUUUGUCGACGUCGGAUGAUCGACUUGAAGUGGAAAGAAAUCUGGGGAGUUGAAGGCGUGUACAAGGUCGCUUUUCCUCUGCUCUUCAAGUUUAAUUCAAUGCGCUUAAUUUUAUUUUCCUCUGCUCUUCAAGUCUUUGGAAUUUCUUAUCACAUUAUAUUUUAGUUUUGCUUCGAUUCUAUUUGUCGUUUUCUUGCCAUAAUUUUUUGCCACGGGUUCACAAAGUUCUCUAAGCGUUUAUUUCUCUAACAUCUUCUCAACUAAUUUAGCAUGGUUAUUUUCAGGCUGUGAAUGGAUAGCGUGGUAUUGUAACUAAUUAUGUAGUCUAAAAAUUGCCUGUUUUUUUUCUUUUCUGUAAGGAUUCUGUCAAUUAUUGGUAUUCAAUUUGAAUGUUUUUCAUUUUUCGUAAUCAAGUCCUUUGUUAUGGAUGAGUCGGUACAAGUUAAAUAGCAACGAGGGGAAAGUU
rnacentral:lncRNA from 1 species